rnacentral:rRNA from 1 species
UACGUAGGGGGGCAAGCGUUGUCCGGAUUUAUUGGGCGUAAAGAGCGUGUAGGCGCCAGACAGGUCCGUUGUGAAAACUCGAGGCUCAACCUCGAGAUGUCGGUGGAAACCGUCUGGCUAGAGUCCGGAAGAGGAGAGUGGAAUUCCCGGUGUAGCGGUGAAAUGCGCAGAUAUCAGGAGGAACACCGGUGGCGAAGGCGGUUCUCUGGGCAUUACCUGACGCUGAGGAGCGAAAAGUGUGGGGGAGCGAACAGG